rnacentral:rRNA from 1 species
UACGUAGGGUGCGAGCGUUAAUCGGAAUUACUGGGCGUAAGGCGUGCGCAGGCGGUGAGUUAAGUCUGAUGUGAAAGCCCCGGGCUCAACCUGGGAAUUGCUUUUGAGACUGUCGAGCUUGAGUGCGGAAGAGGUGAGUGGAAUUCCCAGUGUAGAGGUAAAAUUCGUAGAUAUUGGGAGGAACACCAGUGGCGAAGGCGGCUCACUGGUCCGUAACUGACACUGAGACACGGAAGCGUGGGGAGCAAACAGG